UGCCGAUUCGCACACAUUGGAAUGUGGCUAUCUCCUCCUAAGGCUUUCGUCCCACCGAUACCAAAUUUGCUCAGGGCAAUCUACACCCCAUGCCCAUUCAAAGUUGUAAAAAUCAUGACGCUGCACCCCACGGUUUACGUUCUAGGGGGCGCCAAAGAUGACCCAAAAAUCCACAUUCUUAAAAGUCAUUUUGGCCACUGCAGGAGUACAGAGUACUGCAGUUCUAGGGGGCGCCAAAGAUGACCCAAAAAUCCACAUUCUUAAAAGUCUUUUUGGCCACUGCAGGAGUACAGAGUACUGCAGGAUACACACACAUAUACACACACGCCAACAUACACACACACACACACACACACACACACACACACACACACUCAGAGUCUGUUUUUUAGCACCUGCAAAAACAUGCUGUUUACAUAUUUGACAAGAAUGCAGAGGCUUCCUUUUGCCCCUGAAAAAAAUCAAAUUUCAAACACAACUUGACUGUUCAUUUCUCCAAAAGACAACCAUGAAGCUCCAUUUCAAACCUGAAGCAGAUAGUUGGUGCAUGUGUACAGUAACCGGAGGGGAGUGAGGUGACUAUUUCUGAGGAGAACAUGAGCAGUGAAGAUUCACCUUGGAGCUAGAACAGGGACGUGCACAUGAUUAUACAGGGGCAGGGGCUCAAGUUUUUUCCAGUCAUUUAUACAAUAUGGAAAUUAAUGUGAAAUUAAACCACAAAUAUGUGUGAUGAACUGUUUUUAAAACUUAAACUUCAAAUAAAAAUUGUAAACUUCAAAACAUAUGCAAAUUUUUAACAAAGAACAUAGUAAUUUACCUCUAUUUACAUCAAAAUGCAGGCAAUGGCCCAGGCGUUCUUUGUAAAAUUAUUUACAAAACACUGUAUAGUCUCACAAAUGUCACUUUUUAUUUAUGCCACUACAAAAAAACAUGAUGUAAAUGAUGCAUGAUGUAAAACAUGAUGUAAAAAACUUGUGUAGAUCCUCCUCUAUGUCAGUCCAUGUGUAAUUUUUCCAUAAUUCUUUGUUUUUUGCAGCAUUUUUGUUAGUGUAACUGCAGAUUGUGCUGACAGUGUCUAUGGCACAAAAAAAAAAAAAAAAUUAAAAUGCCUCAACAUGAACCCCUGGUGGUCUCUGAGGGUGAAACCUGCUAACUGCUGCAGCUCUGUCAGCUUCAGUCUCCCAUGCAGAGCUCGGAGCGCAUGUGUGGCUCUGCACCCUUAGCAGCGUUGCUAACUCCUCAGUAAGGAAAGCCUGCUUCAUGUCAGAGUCUCUAAACUCCAGAAGAAGUCGAUAAAAGUCCCUUUCUUUCUAAAAAAAAGUCGUUAGGGGGUCUGAAAAGUCAUUGAAUCUAACAACAAAGUCGCUAGGUUUGCAACUACGUGUCCCAGACUGCAUCCCUGCUGAGAGUCCCUCCCUCCCUUCUCAUGUUGCAGGAAGAACGUAAGCGCCCGCCCCUUGUCAAUCAGUCACCAUAUAAUUUUGGAUUGGUUGUUGUGGUGAAGUUUUCCACCAAUAGGAGAGAUGUUGUGGUGUGUUUUUUUUUUCCUUUGGCAAGCCUUUUCCGCCUGUAAGACCUGUCGCUAAUGUCUGCAUGCUAUGUUUUCCUGUCUCAUACAGCGCGAUCGAGCGCCGAACGUGAUCAAAAUAAGCAGAAAAAAAGUAUCGCGGACAUAAUUUAUCAUAACUCUGGUUUUAUUUGGCCUAUCAACACAAUUUAAAAACUGGUAUAUAGGUUGAGGUCCUCACUUUUGAGAUAAGUUGAAACGGAGAGUCAACGAGGCUCCGUCUUGCAGCUACAUCCGGUUAAAUAUGUCAUGUGACUUGAACGCACACACAGACACACACACACGCACACACACACACACACACACACACACACACACACACACACACACACACUCAGAGUCUGGUUUUUAGCACCUGCAAAAACAUGCUAUUUACAUAUUUGACAAGAAUGCAGAGGCUCCUUUUGCCCCUGAAAAGAAUCAAAUUUCAAACACAACUUGACUGGUCAUUUCUCCAAAAGACAACCAUGAAGCUCCAUCCAAACCUGAAGCAGGCAGUUGGUGCAUGUGUACAGUAACCUGAGGGGAGUGAGGUGAGUGCUUCUGAGGAGAACAUGAGCAGUGAAGAUUCACCUUGGAGCUAGAACAGAGACAUGCACAUGAUUAUACAGGGGCAGGGGCUCAAGUUUUUUCCAGUCGUUUAUACAAUAUGGAAAUUAAUGUGAAAUUAAAACACAAAGUAUUAAUAGAAAGGUAAUGACUGUCCUGUGUAGGUGACAGUGAUAUCCAAUAGGCUAGGCACUCACGAGGCUGGCUGUGGCAAGUGUAAGUGAAAGCAACACGCACUGGCAGGAAGAACAGCAAACGCCGAUGAAGGAAAAGGGUCUUUGCAGUGAUGGGCGUUACCAGAGAGGGCGAUGGCCAGAGGACACAAAUGGGACGGGGAGGCAGCACGUUGGGGGGGGGGGGACGCGACAUGGCUCGGGCCCGCCAGUGCCCCAACGGGGUCCUAGUUAGGGCCCAAGCGUAGCUGCUAAGCAGCUGCGAGAGCCCUCUUGUUCCUGUAGUUUCCUUCUUUUUAGGGCCCGAGCGUAGCUGCUAAGCAGCUGCGAGAGCCCUAUUAUUCCCCAAGUGGUUUUUCUUUGUUUCUUUCUUUCUUUCUUUCUUUCUUUCUUCUUUUUCCUCCCCUUUGAACUGGAAAAUGGCCCACUUCCCACUGGCGAAAACUCAUGAAAUUUGGCAGGACGACCGGGCCUGGUGAAAAAUUCGAUAUUCUGAAGUCGCCCAAACAAUAAAAUGCAAAAUGGCUCCAUAGCGCCCCCUAAGGUGGAAAUUCACACUAUUGACUGUCACGCCUGUACGCUUUGUCAUAUUGACACAAAAAUUGACACACAUAUGUAUCUCAAUAAGAUCUAUAAAAAAGUCAGUGCGGCCGUAUCUGUCAAAUGUACGGUUAAAGGGUUAUUUCGCAUUUUUUUCCGAUCCGCACACAUUGGAAUUUCGCUAACUCCUCCGCAGGCUUUCGUUCCACCGGCACCACAUUUGCUCAGGCCAAUCUACACCCCGUGGCCAUUAAAAGUUAUCAAAAUCAUGACGCUGCACCCCAAGGUUUAGGUUCUAGGGGGCGCCAAAGAUAACACUAAAAUCCACAUAUUUAAAAGUCUUAUAACUUUUUAUUUUUGUCCUCACUGGCCUCCAAGUUUUCUAGGAUGAUGCAAUGUCCAGCCAUCAACACAUUUGUGAAGGAAUUUUUACUCCCCAAAAGAGCGCCCCCCCAUGGAAGGAGAAAAAAGUCCAUUUUUUCUUGUCCCCUAAGGUGAAAAUACACAUUGUUGAGUGUCACGCCUAUACGCUUUGUCAAAAUGACACAAAAAUUGACACACACAUGUAACUCAAUAAGAUCUACGAAAAAGUCAAUGCGCGCGUAUCUGUCAAAUGUACGGUUAAAGGGUUAUUCCGCAUUUUUUGCCGAUCCGCACACAUUGGAAUUUCGCUAACUCCUCCGAAGGCUUUCGUUCCACCGGCACCACAUUUGCUCAGGCCAAUCUACACCCCAUGGCCAUUAAAAGUUAUUCAAAUCAUGACGCUGCACCCCACGGUUUAGGUUCUAGGGGGCGCCAAAGACAACCCUAAAAUCCACAUAUUAAAAAGUCUUAUAACUUUUUAUUUUUGUCCUCACUGGCCUCCAAGUUUUCUAGGAUGAUGCAAUGUCGAGCCAUCAACACAUUUGUGAAGGAAUUUUUACUCCCCAAAAGAGCGCCCCCCCAUGGCAGGAGAAAAAAGUCCAUUUUUUCUUGUCCCCUAAGGUGAAAAUACAUAUUGUUGAGAUUCACGCCUAUACGCUUUGUCAUAUUGACACAAAAUUUGACAAUCACGUGCCUUGCCUGGUAUCAUUUUUUUUCAGCACAACCUCACCUGUGCGAAUUUACAGUUAUUUUAUCAUGUUGACAUACUGAAUUUACACAAUGGACCCAAAUUCACACACAAAACAUAAAAUCCGAGUGGAAAAAAGUAACAUUUUUACUGUGAAAACCACAAAUAUGUGUGAUGAACUGUUUUUAAAACUUAAACUUCAAAUAAAAAUUGUAAACUUCAAAACAUAUGCAAAUUUUUAACAAAGAACAUAGUGAUUUACCUCUAUUUACAUCAAAAUGCAGGCAAUGGCCCAGGCGUUCUUUGUAAAAUUAUUUACAAAACACUGUAUAGUCUCACAAAUGUCACUUUUUAUUUAUGCCACUACAAAAAAACAUGAUGUAAAUGAUGCAUGAUGUAAAACAUGAUGUAAAAAACUUGUGUAGAUCCUCCUCUAUGUCAGUCCAUGUGUAAUUUUUCCAUAAUUCUUUGUUUUUUGCAGCAUUUUUGUUAGUGUAACUGCAGAUUGUGCUGACAGUGUCUAUGGCACAAAAAAAAAAAAAAUUUAAAAUGCCUCAACAUGAACCCCUGGUGGUCUCUGAGGGUGAAACCUGCUAACUGCUGCAGCUCUGUCAGCUUCAGUCUCCCAUGCAGAGCUCUGAGCGCAUGUGUGGCUCUGCACCCUUAGCAGCGUUGCUAACUCCUCAGUAAGGAAAGCCUGCUUCAUGUCAGAGUCUCUAAACUCCAGAAGAAGUCGAUAAAAGUCCCUUUCUUUCUAAAAAAAGUCGUUAGGGGGUCUGAAAAGUCAUUGAAUCUAACAACAAAGUUGCUAGGUUUGCAACUACGUGUCCCAGACUGCAUCCCUGCUGAGAGUCCCUCCCUCGCUUCUCAUGUUGCAGGAAGAACGUAAGCGCCCGCCCC
rnacentral:lncRNA from 1 species